GGGCUCUAUGACAUCAUCAGUCUUGGAAACUUCACUCAAGUGUUCCUAAUCCUUCCGCCUAUCGUCCUUUAAUUCCUAGAAAGUGCCAACUUUAAUGGUUAUGGUCCCACCUACCUGCCAACUGGGGACCUGACCCACGGGCAGGAGGCUGACAGGGUUCCACUCCCAGGUUGCUGACGGGAGCCACUAACGUCCUUCAGUGCACCUGCUCAUUGCAUUGGCCUCUGGACCAGGGUUGCUGAUCCUCUCUAUGUGGAACAUGGGAUGCUCUUUAAAGCUCCAUGCAGGAAAUUCAAUGGUUCGCCAGAAAGGAAGUUCCGUAAGUGACACUAUUCUUCUGGUCCCGAGGGAAUGCUUUCCAUACUGACAUCCGAUGGCUCAGCUGUGCUUUGGCAGACUUGAGUGUACCCCUCUGCUCUCUUCCUUUCCCGUGCCAGUGCUGUGUGUAGAAAGCGGUGAAGCAGAAGGAUGAACACCUAGUUGGAGAAUAUUUUGCAACCUGUCUUUAUUUUCUUCCAUUUGGGACAAAUAGACAAAGGCGCUCUCCCUAGAAAAGGCACUUGACUCUCAGUGGAAGACGAGCAUGGGUUAUUAUUUGCUCUUGAUUGGAUUAAAGCACCUCCUCAUCCAAC